rnacentral:lncRNA from 1 species
GGCGUGAGCUGUGGGUUCUAGGAUUUCAACUCUAGAUUUUGUGAGAAAAAAAUAUAAGAGUGAGUCUUGUCCAAUCUUCCACACCAUCACCUCCUUGUAAAGCUUCACCUUAUGAUCUAGAGGAGUCUGGGAGAUCCAAAGAAAAGAGCUUAGAUCAGCCAUCCAGAGCUUUCGACACGAGCUAGCACUCCCGCGAAGGAAGAUCCGAUCAGGGCUUCGAUUGGAU